UUUAGGAUUGUUAAGGGUCGGGUUAUCGAGUCACGACUGUAUUUGCUAGAUUUGCUAAUUUUAUAAGAUUGUGGAGAAAAUAUUUGAGUAAAUUAUGUUUGGGUUGUUGCGAAAAUUCCUCUGUAUAUCAAAGUAGAAGGUUUUCUCCUUGAACUAAUCCCUUCAAACGUAACUCUACACUAUUUUUUCCUUCUAAAAUUUGCAAAUCUAUGAAGUCAAACACUGUAAAUCGACUCUUAGCUGCACAAUGGCAUCAAUUUUUGAAUCUCAAUGUGUUGUCUGCUAAUUUCACUGACGUGUCCAGCAUAUAAAAACACCAUAUGGACAUGUAACAAGAUU